rnacentral:rRNA from 1 species
GUGAAAGCCCAGGGCUCAACCUUGGAACUGCAUUUGAUACUCGCAAACUAGAGUACUGUAGAGGAAUGGGUAAUUUCUGGUGUAGCGGUGAAAUGCGUAGAGAUCAGAAGGAACACCAAUGGCGAAGGCAACAUUCUGGACCGAUCCUGACACUGAGGGACGAAAGCGUGGGGAUCAAACAGGAUUAGAUACCGUGGUAGUCCACGCUGUAAACGAUGAGUACUAGCUGUUGGAGUCGGUGUAAAGGCUCUAGUG